rnacentral:rRNA from 1 species
UACGAAGGGUGCAAGCGUUAAUCGGAAUUACUGGGCGUAAAGGGCUCGUAGGCGGCCAACUAAGUCGGAUGUGAAAUCCCCAGGCUCAACCUGGGAACUGCAUCCGAUACUGGAUGGCUUGAAUUCGGGAGAGGGAUGCAGAAUUCCAGGUGUAGCGGUGAAAUGCGUAGAUAUCUGGAGGAAUACCGGUGGCGAAGGCGGGUCUCUGGGCCGAUACUGACGCUGAGGAGCGAAAGCGUGGGGAGCGAACAGG